AUUGAACGCUGGCGGCAGGCUUAACACAUGCAAGUCGAGCGAGCGGCGGACGGGUGAGUAAUGUCUGGGAAACUGCCUGAUGGAGGGGGAUAACUACAGGAAACGGUAGCUAAUACCGCAUACCAUCAGAUGUGCCCAGAUGGGAUUAGCUAGUAGGUGGGGUAAUGGCUCACCUAGGCGACGAACCCUAGCUGGUCUUAGAGGAGGCACAGCCAUACUGGAACUGAGACACGGUCCAGACGCGUAGGGGAGGCAGAAGUGGGGAAUAUUGCACAAUGGGGGCAAGCCUGAUACAGCCAUGCCGCGUGUAUGAAGAAGGCCUUCGGGUUGUAAAGUACUUUCAGCGGGGAGGCGUUACCCGCAGAAGAAGCACCGGCUAACUCCGUGCCAGCAGCCGCGGUAAUAC
rnacentral:rRNA from 1 species